AACGAACGCUGGCGGCAUGCCUAACACAUGCAAGUCGAACGACACCUUCGGUUCUAGUGGCGCACGGGUGCGUAACGCGUUGGAACCUGCCCUUAGGUUCGGAAUAACUCCCCGAAAGGGGUGCUAAUACCGGAUAAUGUCUUCGGACCAAAGAUUUAUCGCCUUUGGAUGGGCCCGCGUUGGAUUAGCUAGUUGGUAGGGUAAAAGCCUACCAAGGCGACGAUCCAUAGCUGGUCUGAGAGGAUGAUCAGCCACACUGGGACUGAGACACGGCCCAGACUCCUACGGGAGGAAGAAGUGGGGAAUAUGGGAAAAGGGGCGAAAGCCUGAGCAAGCAAUGCGGCGUGAGUGAUGAAGGCCUUAGGGUUGUAAAGCUCUUUUACACGGGAGGAUAAUGACAGUACCGGGAGAAUAAGCUCCGGCUAACUCCGUG
rnacentral:rRNA from 1 species